UCCGGUUUGGCACCGGCAGUCCUCCCAGAGUCCUCGGCAUGACCCGGUAGCAACUGGGAGCGGGGGUUGCGCUCGUUGCGGGACUUAACCCAACAUCUCACGACACGAGCUGACGACAGCCAUGCACCACCUGUGACGGUGCCCCGAAGGGAGACCGUGUUUCCACGGCUGUCACCGACAUGUCCAGCCUGGGUAAGGUUCUUCGCGUUGCGUCGAAUUAAACCACAUGCUCCACCGCUUGUGCGGGCCCCCGUCAAUUCCUUUGAGUUUCAGCCUUGCGGCCGUACUCCCCAGGCGGGGCACUUACUGCGUUAGCGACGGCACUCAGAGGGUCGCUCCCCCAAGCACCUAGUGCCCAUCGUUUACGGCGUGGACUAC
rnacentral:misc_RNA from 1 species